rnacentral:rRNA from 1 species
GCGGAAGGAUCAUUAUCGUAGGGCUUCGGCCCUGUCGAGAUAGAACCCUUGCCUUUUUGAGUACCUUUCGUUUCCUCGGCAGCCUCGGCUGCCAAUGGGGACCCCAAAAAACACUUUGCAGUACCUGUAACAGUCUGAACAAACAAACAAAAAUUAAAACUUUCAACAACGGAUCUCUUGGUUCUGGCAUCGAUGAAGAACGCAGCGAAAUGCGAUAAGUAGUGUGAAUUGCAGAAUUCAGUGAAUCAUCGAAUCUUUGAACGCACAUUGCGCCCUUUGGUAUUCCUUAGGGCAUGCCUGUUCGAGCGUCAUUUAAACCUUCAAGCUCAGCUUGGUGUUGGGUGACUGUCCGCCGCCUCCGGGCGCGUGGACUCGCCUCAAAAUUAUUGGCGGCCGGUACAUUGGCUUCGAGCGCAGCAGAAACGCGAACUCGGGCCCGUCGUAUUGGCUCCCAGAAGCUAUC